GACAGCUGAUGUAGUAUUUCCAAGAGCAGAAGAAAGCCAGCAAACUCUGGUGCCCCAGUGGCCCCCAGCUACCACCCUGGCAGUGGUCAAGGUGGCCUGAGGACUGGGGAUGGCAUCUUCACAACUUUUAGGAAAUCUUUCUUAAGGAUAUCAACAAUUGUUCUCUACAGACAAGCCCUGUCUUUUCCAUGCCCUGUUCAUCUAAUUAAGUGGUCAUUGGAUAUACCUUUCAACAUUCUGCCUCAGACAUUUUGGGAAUGCUCAAGUUCAACGAGAGGCAUAUCAAAGAGGCAUCACAGUAUGGGUUGAGAGCUCGGGCAGUGGAACUGGAUGACCUAGAGGAACCAACAUCUUCAGCCACUGCAGGCAGCUGGACCUGAGCAUGACAUGCUACCUGUCGGGGGAGGGAAGAGGCUGAUGUGACUACGAGAUUCAGAGAAAUGGACUGAAGUAAUAAACAUUAACGUAAC